GAGUUAGUGUUUAGGGUUUAGCGGUUAUUGUUUAGGGUUUAGGGUUUAGAUUUUAGUGUUUAGGGUUUAGGUUUUAGAGUUUAGUGUUUAGGGUUUAAGGUUUAGAGUUUAGAGUUUAGUGUGUUGGGGUUUAGGAUUUAGAGUUUAGGGUUUAGGUUUUAGGGUUUAGAUUUUAGUGUUUAGGGUUUAGGGUUUAUAGUUUAGUGUUUAGGUUAAGGGUUUAGGGUUUAGAUUUUAGUAUUUAGGGUUUAGCGUUUAGGAUUUAGGGUUUAGCGUUUAGAGUUUAGUGUUUAACGAACCGAUCUAAAAGAAAUUAAUAAAUUUAAUUAAAUGUAUAAAAAACCGGACGGUCAGACCACCCG
rnacentral:lncRNA from 1 species